AACGCACAUUGCGCCCCCUGGUAUUCCGGAGGGCACGCCUGUCUGAACGUCAUGAACAAACUCGAGCUUGCUCGGUGAUGAGUGCCGCCAAAAUGGCGGUGCCUGCAAUCCAGUGGCGGAGGCCGCUACAGGUCGACAUAGUGAACACUUCCUGUCGGUUUGGUAGAAGGCUGCCUGCCUUAAGAAAUUCUGAGACUUGACUUCAGAUCAGACGAGGUUACCCGCUGAACUUAA
rnacentral:misc_RNA from 1 species